AACCAAGAGCGAUGCCAGCGCCUGUCUAGUACUGGAGCUGAUUCACUGAUCCUUUUUCACUAUUAUCGACAAGACCACCUCGCUGGGACCUAGAACUCGCCGCCGGUCCCCACACCAGCGGAGACAGGCAAGCAGCAUGAUGAGGUGGACAGAAAAUUGGCCCAACGUGAAGUUGUCUGAUUUGAGCGAGUAGCAACUCGAUAGGAGCGUGGGUAGUAAGCCAAUAACUCGCUGCUCACGACUCAGUAAACAACGAUUCAGGUAUGCAUAUUAUUCAGACCCUUUCCACAUCCACUGUCAUCUCCUUCCCUCCGCCAUGGCUGUGCCAAACUUAUGGAUGAAGCAUCAGGCAGCAGCGGCCGUGCUUGGUUCUUGAGAGUGACGGGGCUGCUCAAUGCCUCCUUCAUAUGCUGUUUUCUGAAUCUACUAGCACUUCUUCUCAUGUCAUAACUGUUGCUUGAAAGGUGCUCGACAGUAUGCUCCAGUUGUGACAUGACACUAGAAGCUCUGUUGGCAAUGGAACAAUUCUUUGGCAAAGUGAAGGCUAUAUCAAGAAGAUGGACUUCUAAUUGUUUUUCACUUACUAUGUAUUUUUCCUGCUUGAUCAAGAUUAUUUGAUAUUAAGUCAAUUCUUUCAUUCAGUAGGUUAUGAUUUAAAAGCCAAAUUGAAAUCCUUUUGCUUUCCCAGUUUUCCCUUUUCAAGUUUAUUCAGAUUCCAUUCUAUUUAGUUUAACUUACCUAAUUAAAUGUCCAGCUAAUCUUGUAUUCACUUAUUACUUAUUGCGAGCUGUCAAUUUACCUUGUCUUUAACUUAUACAGUGCUUCAGUAUUCCAAAGAAUCUCAUUUUUUUCCUUUCCAAUUUAUUUUGGUCAGUGGCUGGGUUCUUCGUCUUUAUUGCUUAGUGAAUCAGAAUGACAAACACCUUACAAUCAAGUUAUUCCCACCAUUCAUGUCGGAAGUAUGCUAUUCCUUGUAACAUCAUCAAAUCCACUUGCUUUGCAUCUAUCACAGCAAAACAAAAUGCCAAGCAGAUAACCCUUCCAGAAAUAUUUGUUCAGAGCCUUCAAAUGACAGCAGCCAUGAAACAAAUAGCGUGGGCCCCUACCAACUUACAGCUCAUACCUGAUUGAAGCUAUAUAGAACCUCAGUGGCUAAUGAUUAAGAUGCCUUGACUAAAGUAUCUUAUUUUCCAUGGUUAAAGUUGUCAGACGAUUCUAUAUAUACUUUCUUAGUACUUAUAUUGUGCAAGAUGGAACAGAAAUAACAAAUGUACCUGCAACCACUUUCUAUGUUAGAUCCAUACUCCGCAAUGAAAAAGGAUACUUUUCGAUCUAUAUCUGGGAUGUUUAUUGUGUAAUUUGGUUGGACAGAAUUGCAAAUGAGUUAAGCAUCCAAAAGUGUUUGUGUUUUUUGUUAUCUGGUCAUGCAUGAAUUCCCAAAAAGCUUAAGUGAUUUCUGCACUUGGGUAAAAAUUUAUCCAUAUGUUAUAUGUAAUUGAGCAAUUUCAACAAAAUUUAAACCUUCAUUGGAUGUGCUCUUGCUUGAGGUUCCAACUAUGUGUCACAACAAGUUGUCUAUCUGAUCAUCAAGCAUUUAAUUUGCUUCAGUUAAGUUUUGCAAAAAAAAAAAGAAAUCAGUUAAGGCAUGAAUUUUGUUGCAGACUUAAAGAAAAGUAUGAACCAAUUUGAUUAUGUUUUUUUUAUUUCUGACAUCUAUACUAUACAUCUUUCAUUUGCAAAGAUUUUCCUUUGUCAAUACCUUAUCUAUAUGGAGUUCAGCAACAAGGGAAAUAAAAAAGGUACAUUUGAGGGCUUCA